GAUCUGGUUUCACACCAAAAAGGAUCUGGAACUAGUCCCUAGUUUGCGCGAACCUUUUCACCCCCAGAUAGUCCCUGCUAGAGAGGCGGUGCUUCCUGCA